GACGAACGCCGGCGGCGUGCCUAAUACAUGCAAGUAGAACGCUGAAGCGAGGAGCUUACUCUUCUUGGAUGAGUUGCGAACGGGUGAGUAACGCGUAGGUAACCUGCCUUGUAGCGGGGGAUAACUAUUGGAAACGAUAGCUAAUACCGCAUAACAAUGGAUGACACAUGUCAUUUAUUUGAAAGGGGCAAUUGCUCCACUACAAGAUGGACCUGCGUUGUAUUAGCUAGUAGGUGAGGUAAUGGCUCACCUAGGCGACGAUACAUAGCCGACCUGAGAGGGUGAUCGGCCACACUGGGACUGAGACACGGCCCAGACUCCUACGGGAGGCAGCAGUAGGGAAUCUUCGGCAAUGGGGGCAACCCUGACCGAGCAACGCCGCGGGAGUGAAGAAGGUUUUCGGAUCGUAAAGCUCUGUUGUAAGUCAAGAACGGGUGUGAGAGUGGAAAGUUCACACUGUGACGGUAGCUUACCAGAAAGAGACGGCUAACUACGUG
rnacentral:rRNA from 1 species